rnacentral:rRNA from 1 species
AGGGUUUGAUUCUGGCUCAGAUUGAACGCUGGCGGCGUGCUUAACACAUGCAAGUCGAACGUGAAAGUCCUUCGGGACGAGUAAAGUGGCGCACGGGUGAGUAACGCGUGGAUAAUCUACCUUCAAGACGGGGAUAACGGCUGGAAACGGUCGCUAAUACCGGAUACGCUCCCGACUUUAUCGUUGGGGGGAAAGAUGGCCUCUGCUUGCAAGCUAUCGCUUGGGGAUGAGUCCGCGUCCCAUUAGCUAGUUGGUGGGGUAACGGCCCACCAAGGCAACGAUGGGUAGCCGGUCUGAGAGGAUGACCGGCCACACUGGAACUGGAACACGGUCCAA